rnacentral:rRNA from 1 species
CAGCCGCCGCGGUAAUACGAAGGGGGCUAGCGUUGUUCGGAUUUACUGGGCGUAAAGGGUGCGUAGGCGGAUUGUUAAGUCAGGGGUGAAAUCCCGAGGCUCAACCUCGGAACUGCCUUUGAUACUGGCGAUCUUGAGUCCGGGAGAGGUGAGUGGAACUGCGAGUGUAGAGGUGAAAUUCGUAGAUAUUCGCAAGAACACCGGUGGCGAAGGCGGCUCACUGGCCCGGAACUGACGCUGAGGCACGAAAGCGUGGGGAGCAAACAGGAUUAGAUACCCCCGUAGUCCCUGUUUCUUAUAC